rnacentral:RNase_P_RNA from 1 species
CCAGCAAAACGUUCUAUCGCUCGGCGCUCAAAACGCAGGGAGGAAAGUCCGGGCAACACAGAGCAUCCUGCUUCCUAACGGGAAGGCGCCGUCAGCCGGCGACAGCAAGUGCCACAGAAAAUAAACCGCCCCCACAGUAAAGUGAGGGUAAGGGUGAAAACGCGGGGUAAGAGCCCACGGCCUUUACGGGCAACCGUAAUUGCGGUAAACCUCAGGAGUUGAAAGGCCAAAUAGGUCCUGAAUAUGGAAGCUGCUCGCUUCUGUGCUUUGCAAAAAGCACGUCAGGAUGGGUAGGCUGCUAAAGCCUUGCAGCAAUGUAAGGCGCAGAUUAAUGAUAGAAGCCGCGCAAGCGGUACAGAACCCGGCUUACAGCUUUGCUG